rnacentral:rRNA from 1 species
AGUCAACGCUGGCGGCGUGCCUAACACAUGCAAGUCGAGCGCGAAAGUGGACUUCGGUCCGCAAGUAGAGCGGCGAACGGGUGAGUAACGCGUGGGUGAUCUACCUUCGAGUGGGGAAUAACACCGGGAAACUGGUGCUAAUACCGCAUGACAUCCCUGGUUCGUUCCAGGGAUCAAAGCCGGGGACCGUAAGGCCUGGCGCUUGAAGAGGAGCCCGCGUCCGAUUAGCUAGUUGGCGGGGUAAUGGCCCACCAAGGCUUCUAUCGGUAGCCGGCCUGAGAGGGCGGACGGCCACACUGGGACUGAGACACGGCCCAGACUCCUACGGGAGGCAGCAGUGGGGAAUUUUCCGCAAUGGGGGAAACCCUGACGGAGCAACGCCGCGUGGAGGAUGAAGGCCCUCGGGUCGUAAACUCCUGUCGAUCGGGAAGAAUGCGUCCGACCUAAUACGUCGGUGCGUUGACUGUACCGGUGGAGGAAGCCACGGCUAACUCUGUG